rnacentral:lncRNA from 1 species
CCGGAUCCGGACCCCUUCCCCUCCGUGCGCCUCGGCCCCAUCCCCUCGCAACUCAGGGCCGGCGCGGACUCACCUGUCCAGGGCAGCGGCAGCAGCGCGGAGUCCUGGGCAGCGGCGAGGCAGAGGCGCGGCGGGGCUGGGGCAGCGCGGGGAGCGCCGAGCGGAGCCGCCCAGCCCUGCGAUAUAAAUAACAUUAUCUGGGCGAGCAGGGACAUUCCUGCCCGAGGACAGCGCUGCUGCCCGGCCCAGAUAGUCCCGCUGCCUCCAGGGGAGGGAGGGGGGAGGAGGCGCCCGCCCCGCAAUGCAGCACAGCGGGCCCCCAGGCCAGCGCCAGCAGCGGGCACCCGGCGAUGCCCAGCAGCGGCGCCGGGACCAGCAGGCCCGCACCAGGGCUCGGCCACACCCAGCGCGGCUGAGCCGGACCGGCACAUCCCCACAUUGGCUGUCCGGCUGCUAAAUUGAACUGGGUCCAGUGCCUCCAGCCCUGCCUGCCUACGGAAGGGCCGAACCAACCCGAUACAACACAGGCUGGAAGCGAGAGCUUGAGUCCAAAGCACUUGAAAAACCUCCCAAGCCACUUGUCUUUAAGAAGGGCCAGACAUCUGGAACGGUUGCAAAUCUACAAACGUUUGGGGACAGGGUCCAGGGAUAACUAGGGCCAGGGUUUUCAAAAGGCACCAAGAUCCAGCCGCUCGGGAAAGCCCAGCAUGUCACGUGCUGAGCCCUUGGAAAUCUGGCCCUGAGCUGGAUGGAAAGUUUGGCCCUACAUGUCUGUGCAGUGUCUAGCACCCAGGGGCCGGAACUUGGCUAAGGCCUGGAGGUGCUGUAUGAAUAACUGUCGAUUCCAGUUUGCUCACCCCCGUUAAAGGGCCGGGCCAUUCGCUGCGCAGGCUAGGCCCGCACGGGUGCGAUACAAAGUAACAGCAUCCAACAAUGGACCAACUAGAGCACAAAUGAUAAACUGCAGCGAGAUCGGCGCAGAACACAAAGCCUCCGCCUGAGCCGGGGGACAGUUCAGAUAACGGCCUAUCUCGGCUAAACCAUGGCAGGGCCAAGCGAGCGGAGUGAUUCCCCCUACACCCAGCUGCAAACACUCAGUCUCCGGUAUCUCUAAUUGCAGUGACUCCCCAGCCACCCUCCACAGCUGGUUCGCUGAUAACGCAUUCGGAGGGGCAGCUCCUUAGCUGGUGUGAAUUGUCCCAACUCCCUUCAUGGCUCUUCCCCUUAGAGACUUGGGGCCAGAUCCCCAGCUGGCAUAAACCAGUGCUGGCUCUUCGCAGCAGCAUUCAAUUGCUGCUCUUCCAAUUGGCACCCACUCUAGGGACCCACAAGUCUUGAACCCAGGGCCUUGGCAGCCCUCACACUCCAGCAGCACCCAGCGCUAUUGGAAGCGAGAGGCUAGCAUAACUCUGCCUCCUCCCAGAGCCCCCACCCGCUAGGGGACGAUGACUGGCCCCUUUGAUUGGCCCAGCCAUCCUAUUUAAGCCAGAAGGAGGCACAGGAAGUUGUCUGGACAAUUCGGUGACUUCCUGACUGGCUGCUGUACUGCACCUGACCAAUGCCUUGAUCCCUGGUUCCUGAUUCCGGCUCUGACACCUGGCCUGGUUCCUGAUUCCGGCUCUGACACCUGGCCUGGUUCCUGAUUCCGGCUCUGACGCCUGGCCUGGUUCCUGAUUCCGGCUCUGACACCUGGCCUGGUUCCUGAUUCCGGCUCUGACGCCUGGCCUGGUUCCUGAUUCCGGCUCUGACACCUGGCCUGGUUCCUGAUUCUGGCUCUGACCGCUAGGCUAGACAGCCCAUUUCCCAGUUCUGAUACCAGUUGAGGAUCUCAUCGAUGAAGAUUUUUUCUAAUGUAAGCCUGGCUUUAACUAAUAUCACACCUGAAUUGUCCCUGCGACUAGAAUAACCCAUUACUGCCAGGAUAAUGUUCCCCUGCCUUCCUGAGACCAUCCUGUUACAUAUCUCUAGAGAGCUGUCAUCACAUCCCUCCCUCUGAUUCGCUGUCCCUUUCUGAGUGACAGUCAUCGAGGAGAAAAAAUCAGGCCGGUAUGUAACUAUCAGCGCUAUUUUAUUUCAACUGCUGAGUCAAACUGCCCCUAAGAAAUAAGCACUGUGACUAACUACAUAGAUGGGAGUUAAAAAACCCAGUGUUUUAAUUUGCUUGAUUUGAUUUUGCUUAAUUAACAUCUGGCAGUGGCUACGUAUUAUCAGCGCUCCGUUGGCACCAACAGCAGCCGGGCAGCGGCUCUGGCUUUGGUGCUGCCAUUGCUCCGGGGGGAGCAGUGCAACAAAGUAAAAUGCAAAUGGCAUGUGGGGGAAAGGUAAUUAAAAUUAAGCAAGUUCUCCGGAGGAAGCUGUCACAGUGAGGGAAACUGUCAGGUCACUGAAGCAGAGGGAACCAACAACGGUGUGAUGCUCAAAGAUGGGAAGGCAACUCAUAUUCGGGAGGGAAAGGCCUGUGGAAUAACAUAUGGAGACCAAUGUCUCUGGACAGCACCCCCCAGCUUGCAGGUAGCCCAACUAUGGUUUCUAUGCCAAGAAACAACAGAAGGGGAUGGAAGGCUUGCAGAUGAGCACGUGUUGACUUAGCUCAUUAACAGCACCCAGGCACCCUGGUGAGGAGGCCUGUUUGCUGGCAAUUCCAACAAUUGUGGGGGGGAAUGUUUUGGGUCAAACCAAAACCAAUUUAAAAAAAAAUGUGCCGCUAAUUUAGCUGUUACCACUCAAGAGAGAGAGCUUGGAGUCCUUGUGGAUAGUUCCCUGAAAACAUCCGCUUAAUGUGCAGCGGCAGGAGUCAGAAAAGCAAACCAUGUUAGGAAACAUCAGGAAAGGGAUAGACUAGGGGUGGGCAAUAAUUUUUGCAGGGGGGCCACUCAUGAAUUUUGGUACAUCGUCCCAGGCCGCACAUUUCUACUAUAUUAAUAGAGGGAGUGUGGGGUCUGGGAGGGAGUUUGGGUGCAGGAGGGGCAGGGCCGGCUCUGGCUUUUUUGCCGCCCCAAGCAAAAAAAAAAUCAGGAUGGCCAGAACGACAAAGCAAAAAAAAUAAAUAAAACCUGCGGGGUGGCCGGAGCCA